GACGAACGCUGGCGGCGUGCCUAAUACAUGCAAGUAGAACGCUGAAGGAGGAGCUUGCUUCUCUGGAUGAGUUGCGAACGGGUGAGUAACGCGUAGGUAACCUGCCUGGUAGCGGGGGAUAACUAUUGGAAACGAUAGCUAAUACCGCAUAAUAGUAGAUGUUGCAUGACAUUUGCUUAAAAGGUGCAAUUGCAUCACUACCAGAUGGACCUGCGUUGUAUUAGCUAGUUGGUGAGGUAACGGCUCACCAAGGCAACGAUACAUAGCCGACCUGAGAGGGGGAUCGGCCACACUGGGGCUGAGACACGGCCCAGACUCCUACGGGAGGCAGCAGUAGGGAAUCUUCGGCAAUGGACGGAAGUCUGACCGAGCAACGCCGCGUGAGUGAAGAAGGUUUUCGGAUCGUAAAGCUCUGUUGUAAGAGAAGAACGAGUGUGAGAGUGGAAAGUUCACACUGUGACGGUAUCUUACCAGAAAGGGACGGCUAACUACGUG
rnacentral:rRNA from 1 species